rnacentral:rRNA from 1 species
GAAGAAGGCCCUACGGGUUGUAAACCGCUUUUCCGGGGGAAGAAUAAGCCCGACGCGUCGGGCGAUGCCGGUACCCCGGGAAUAAGGAUCGGCUAACUCCGUGCCAGCAGCCGCGGUAAUACGGAGGAUCCGAGCGUUAUCCGGAUUUACUGGGUUUAAAGGGUGCGUAGGCGGCCCAACAAGUCAGCGGUGAAAUGUGGCGGCUCAACCGUUUCGCUGCCGCUGAUACUGGUGGGCUUGGAUUGCGUCGAGGCGGGUGGAAUUCGUGGUGUAGCGGUGAAAUGCAUAGAUAUCACGAGGAACGCCGAUAGCGAAGGCAGCUCGCCGGGCGCGUAUCGACGCUGAGGCACGAAAGCGUGGGGAUCAAACAGGAUUAGAUACCCUGGUAGUCCACGCCGUAAACGAUGAUGGCUGGGUUUUUGCCCGCGAGGGUGAGGGCCUGAGGGAAACCAUUAAGCCAUCCACCUGGGGAGUACGGCCGCAAGGCUGAAACUCAAAGGAAUUGACGGGGGCCCGCACAAGCGGAGGAACAUGUGGUUUAAUUCGAUGAUACGCGAGGAACCUUACCUGGGCUCGAACGCGGGGGGGAUGCACCGGAAACGGUGCAGCCGGCAACGGCCGCCCGCGAGGUGCUGCAUGGUUGUCGUCAGCUCGUGCCGUGAGGUGUCGGGUUAAGUCCCAUAACGAGCGCAACCCCUACCGCCAGUUGCCAGCGGGUAA